rnacentral:misc_RNA from 1 species
AAAUAUUAAUGUAAAUGUCGAAGUAAUAUACUGAUCAAAUAGCUCACUGGAUUACAUUAGAGAAUGUCAAUAUACACUUGUUCUUAAUGUAUGUUUUGACUAAAGGAUUACUUAUUAAAUGUGAAAGUUUUCGUUCUGUGCGAUUUGUCAUCUUUGUUGACAUUAGGAUUACAGAAGGAACAUAAUUACAAAAGGAUAAAAGUCACAUUUCAAGGAUGUCGGAUAGAUUGAAGUGGCGUUAAUCUACCAUCUGAAGCGUUUCAAUUUCGUCACCAUAAAGUGUUCAGCUGUCUAACGACAAGAUGCAGGGCUGUUGCGGCAGAGAGUUGGCGAUUUUCAUUGUCGUCUAUCUCUUUAUUUCGGACACGACAGGACAUGAUAUGGAAUACAGAAUCAACGAAGAACUGCCAUCAAACUAUAUAAUUGGAAACAUUGUCGACGAUUUGAAAUUUUUGGAGAGGAAUUACUCGAUAAAUGUGGAUCGUGAAAAUAUCCGUUUUAACAUCCUCUCCCUGGGGAAGCUACAGCUACAUCAGAACAUCAUCAACAUGCAUUCUAAUCAGCCCCAUGGUGACAACGACAGUGAGACCUCUAUAGAAUCGAACACCUCUGACAGUGGGCGGGGCGGAAGUGAGAGUGACAUCCACAGUAGCGGAGGUCUGUCACAGUGUCAGGAACUAGAUUUGUUAAAGCAGUUGUAUCCGCAUGUUAACAAGCAAGAGCAUUUAAGACUGAAACAGUGUUCAAACAAAGUCGUUAAUUUGGGAGAUAUCAGACCGAAAUUCAGGGAUAACAGAAAAGACAUUCCCGUGGAAAUUGACCAUCGGAAGUAUGCAGACCGACGAGUGAACGAGUACGGCGACUACGUUGAUAUUCGUGAUAUUCCUUAUUCUGCGUAUAGACCAAAACGAUUUACGCAUUUUAACUCCAUGUCGGACAUUUUGGAUGGAAGUAUGAUGACGAAUGAAGAUGACGAUGACCUCAGUACAACUACUUCCGGUAGCUAUACCGUGGAUGACAUCGAUGACAGCAGCUUACAUCCGGAAUGUGUUGUCUGAUGGAGAACAAAUAACCUCGUUCGAUUGUGUUCAGAAUUCUGUUUAUUUUCAUUCAUUUAUUCCCUGUUUAUUGAGUGAUAAAGAUGUAUAUCUCUACGCAAUAAGCUUUCAUCUGAUUACAAACGCAAUCUGGUUUCGGACUAUUUUUUCUAUCGAAUCCAGUGUAGAGUGCCAUUAACUCUUUUUCGUCGGAAAUGUACGAGGAAAUAUGAACACUGUCAGCAGAACAAUUAUUUGCAUAUCAGAUUGUCGAUUUCAGAUGUUAUUGUAUCGGGAAGGUUUGCUUGCCAAAGGACAAACACAAAACUUGAUCUUUGAUCCGUAGUUACAUUAUGUGCCAAAUGUUAUUUCGAAUUGUUAAUAUUGCAAUCGUAUAUUUUUGUAAUUACAUUUGUAAUAAAACAAUGAUAAUGUU